rnacentral:rRNA from 1 species
UGCUACAGCCAUGCCACCCUGGAUAAGCCUGAUCCCAUCUGAUCUGAGAAGCUAAGCAGGAUCGGGCCUGGUUUGUACUUGGAUGGGAGACCACCUAGGAAGACUGGGUGCUGUAGGCA